GGUUAAGCGACUAAGCGUACACGGUGGAUGCCCUGGCAGUCAGAGGCGAUGAAGGACGUGCUAAUCUGCGAAAAGCGUCGGUAAGGUGAUAUGAACCGUUAUAACCGGCGAUGUCCGAAUGGGGAAACCCAGUGUGAUUCGUCACACUAUCGUUAACUGAAUACAUAGGUUAACGAGGCGAACCGGGGGAACUGAAACAUCUAAGUACCCCGAGGAAAAGAAAUCAACCGAGAUUCCCCCAGUAGCGGCGAGCGAACGGGGAGCAGCCCAGAGUCUGAAUCAGCUUGUGUGUUAGUGGAACGGUCUGGAAAGUCCGACGGUACAGGGUGAUAGUCCCGUACACCAAAAUGCACAGGUUGUGAACUCGAAGAGUAGGGCGGGACACGUGGUAUCCUGUCUGAAUAUGGGGGGACCAUCCUCCAAGGCUAAAUACUCCUGACUGACCGAUAGUGAACCAGUACCGUGAGGGAAAGGCGAAAAGAACCCCGGCGAGGGGAGUGAAAAAGAACCUGAAACCGUGUACGUACAAGCAGUGGGAGCACCUUCGGGUGUGACUGCGUACCUUUUGUAUAAUGGGUCAGCGACUUAUAUUCUGUAGCAAGGUUAACCGUAUAGGGGAGCCGCAGGGAAACCGAGUCUUAACUGGGCGUUAAGUUGCAGGGUAUAGACCCGAAACCCGGUGAUCUAGCCAUGGGCAGGUUGAAGGUUGGGUAACACUAACUGGAGGACCGAACCGACUAAUGUUGAAAAAUUAGCGGAUGACUUGUGGCUGGGGGUGAAAGGCCAAUCAAACCGGGAGAUAGCUGGUUCUCCCCGAAAGCUAUUUAGGUAGCGCCUCGUGAACUCAUCUUCGGGGGUAGAGCACUGUUUCGGCUAGGGGGUCAUCCCGACUUACCAACCCGAUGCAAACUACGAAUACCGAAGAAUGUUAUCACGGGAGACACACGGCGGGUGCUAACGUCCGUCGUGAAGAGGGAAACAACCCAGACCGCCAGCUAAGGUCCCAAAGUCAUGGUUAAGUGGGAAACGAUGUGGGAAGGCACAGACAGCCAGGAUGUUGGCUUAGAAGCAGCCAUCAUUUAAAGAAAGCGUAAUAGCUCACUGGUCGAGUCGGCCUGCGCGGAAGAUGUAACGGGGCUAAACCAUGCACCGAAGCUGCGGCAGCGACACUAUGUGUUGUUGGGUAGGGGAGCGUUCUGUAAGCCUGCGAAGGUGACCUGUGAGGGUUGCUGGAGGUAUCAGAAGUGCGAAUGCUGACAUAAGUAACGAUAAAGCGGGUGAAAAGCCCGCUCGCCGGAAGACCAAGGGUUCCUGUCCAACGUUAAUCGGGGCAGGGUGAGUCGACCCCUAAGGCGAGGCCGAAAGGCGUAGUCGAUGGGAAACAGGUUAAUAUUCCUGUACUUGGUGUUACUGCGAAGGGGGGACGGAGAAGGCUAUGUUAGCCGGGCGACGGUUGUCCCGGUUUAAGCAUGUAGGCUGAUUAUCCAGGCAAAUCCGGAUAAUCAAGGCUGAGGUGUGAUGACGAGGCACUACGGUGCUGAAGUAACAAAUGCCCUGCUUCCAGGAAAAGCCUCUAAGCAUCAGGUAACAUCAAAUCGUACCCCAAACCGACACAGGUGGUCAGGUAGAGAAUACCAAGGCGCUUGAGAGAACUCGGGUGAAGGAACUAGGCAAAAUGGUGCCGUAACUUCGGGAGAAGGCACGCUGGUGUGUAGGUGAAGUCCCUGCGGAUGGAGCUGAGACCAGUCGAAGAUACCAGCUGGCUGCAACUGUUUAUUAAAAACACAGCACUGUGCAAACACGAAAGUGGACGUAUACGGUGUGACGCCUGCCCGGUGCCGGAAGGUUAAUUGAUGGGGUUAUCCGUAAGGAGAAGCUCUUGAUCGAAGCCCCGGUAAACGGCGGCCGUAACUAUAACGGUCCUAAGGUAGCGAAAUUCCUUGUCGGGUAAGUUCCGACCUGCACGAAUGGCGUAAUGAUGGCCAGGCUGUCUCCACCCGAGACUCAGUGAAAUUGAACUCGCUGUGAAGAUGCAGUGUACCCGCGGCAAGACGGAAAGACCCCGUGAACCUUUACUAUAGCUUGACACUGAACAUUGAGCCUUGAUGUGUAGGAUAGGUGGGAGGCUUUGAAGCGUGGACGCCAGUCUGCGUGGAGCCAACCUUGAAAUACCACCCUUUAAUGUUUGAUGUUCUAACGUUGGCCCCUUACCGGGGUUGCGGACAGUGUCUGGUGGGUAGUUUGACUGGGGCGGUCUCCUCCCAAAGCGUAACGGAGGAGCACGAAGGUUAGCUAAUCCUGGUCGGACAUCAGGAGGUUAGUGCAAUGGCAUAAGCUAGCUUGACUGCGAGCGUGACGGCGCGAGCAGGUGCGAAAGCAGGUCAUAGUGAUCCGGUGGUUCUGAAUGGAAGGGCCAUCGCUCAACGGAUAAAAGGUACUCCGGGGAUAACAGGCUGAUACCGCCCAAGAGUUCAUAUCGACGGCGGUGUUUGGCACCUCGAUGUCGGCUCAUCACAUCCUGGGGCUGAAGUAGGUCCCAAGGGUAUGGCUGUUCGCCAUUUAAAGUGGUACGCGAGCUGGGUUUAGAACGUCGUGAGACAGUUCGGUCCCUAUCUGCCGUGGGCGCUGGAGAAUUGAGGGGGGCUGCUCCUAGUACGAGAGGACCGGAGUGGACGCAUCACUGGUGUUCGGGUUGUCAUGCCAAUGGCACUGCCCGGUAGCUAAAUGCGGAAGAGAUAAGUGCUGAAAGCAUCUAAGCACGAAACUUGCCCCGAGAUGAGUUCUCCCUGAGACUUUAAGUCUCCUGAAGGAACGUU
rnacentral:rRNA from 2 species